GAUGAACGCUGGCGGCGUGCUUAACACAUGCAAGUCGAACGGAAAGGCCCUGCUUUUGCGGGGCGCUCGUGAGGCGAACGGGUGAGUAAAACGCGUGUAUACUGCCCCUGACUUUGGGAUAACACCAGGAAACAGGGGCUCAUAUCGGAUAGGAGAUACUGCUGCACGGUGGGGGAUGGAAAGUUUCGGCGGUUGGGGCUGGACUCGCGGCUUAUCAGCUUGUUGGUGGGGUAGUGGCUUACCAAGGCUUCGACGGGUAGCCGGCCUGGGAGGGUGACCGGCCACAUUGGGACUGAGGUACGGCCCAGACGCCUACGGGAGGCAACAGGGGAGAGUAUUGCGGAGUAAGCGGGAGCCUGAGACAGCAACGCCGCGUGCGUGAUGACGGCCUUCUAGGUGUAAACCACUGUCGCCUUAGACGAGGCGUGAGUGACGGUAAUUGAUAAGGAAGCACCGGCUAACUACGUG
rnacentral:rRNA from 1 species